GCUGAAACGUCUUGCGAGCUGAGUCAGGGUCGGGGAAGCUGUGAUGGCAAUGAGAAGUCAACACACUGAGGAUGGAGAGAAAGAAGAUGAGUCUGGGAGAGAAAGAGAAUGAUUCUUCUGGCCGAGGGAAAGCAAGAAUAUCUGUUCCUGCAACUGCACUGAUUCUAGAAACACUCUCUAUUCGAACUCUCAUGAGAUGGACCGAAAAUGCUGACGCCAAUGCCAAGGAAAAAAGUGUCUUGAAAAAGCAGCCGUGGACGUGGAGUUACCAAAUCAUCCGAAGUGGCUCCUGGACCGGGUGGAGGAGCCAGGCUGCAGAAAUGCAGUUCAUCGCAGGAGUUUUCCUGAACAGAGAAAAGUCUCCACAGAAUAGCAAAAAUAGCAAAAACUCGAAGUCAAGGGUCUUGAGGUCUAAAUUUUCUGUGUGACCCCAGGGAAAUCGUUUCAUCUUUCUAGGUCUUCACAUCCUCACCUGAAAAAUAAAGUGCUUGGCUAAGAAAGGCUUGAGGUUUUAUUUGGCUCAUUCUGUGGUUCUCUAGAUCCUGCACAAGAUAGCUGGACUUCUCUAAGGAAUCAGAAUUACAAGGAAAACAUAUUGAUUUUAUCCCUUUGUUAGUGAAAAUAAUACAUUCAGAUUUGAAAUGGUCAAUUGUUCACAGUGAUUUUUGGCUGUUAUGAAUAAAGCUGUUAUGAACAUAUGUGUAAGUCAUUGCAUGGACAUAUAUUUUCAUUUCCCUUUGGCAAAUACCUUGGAAUGGGAAUUGUUAGAUCACGUAAUAUGUAUAUAUUUACAUUUAUGAGAAACUGCCAAACUUUCUGAAAUGGUUGUCCUGUUUUACACUCCUGCCUGUAAUGCAUGAGAAUUCUAGUUGAUUCAUAUGGACACCAACACUUAGUAUUAUUAGUCCUUUCACUUUUAAUCAUUCUAGUGGAUGUGCAGAGAUAUUUCAUUGUGGUUUUAAUUUGCAUUUCCAGGUAACUGUUGAUAAUGAGCAUCUUCUUAUGUGCUCAUUGGUCAUUCAAAUAGCUUAUUUUGUAAAGUGUCUUUUGCUCAUUUUGAAAUUGUAUUGUUUGACUUAUUGAGUUGUAGUGUUCUUUAUAUAUUUUGGAUACAAGUCCUUUGCCAUGUAUGUAAAUUGUAAAUAUUUUCUCCCAGCCUGUGCUUUACGUUUUCAUUUUUUCAGCAGUAUUUUUCAGUAAACAAGAGUUUAAAGUCCAAUUUGUCUUUUUUUCUUUUUAUGAUUUAUGCUUUUUGUGUUCUAUAUUAAAAAUCUUGGCUUCCCUCAAGGUCAUCACAAAGAUUUCUCCUAUUUUUUUAAUAGAAGUUUUAUUUUCUAUGUUUAGACCUAUGAUAUAUUUUUAAUCAACUUUUGCAUAUAGUACGAG
rnacentral:lncRNA from 1 species